rnacentral:rRNA from 1 species
UACGAAGGGGGCUAGCGUUGUUCGGAAUUACUGGGCGUAAAGCGCACGUAGGCGGCUUUCUAAGUCGGGGGUGAAAUCCUGGAGCUCAACUCCAGAACUGCCUUCGAUACUGGAAAGCUCGAGUCCGGGAGAGGUGAGUGGAACUGCGAGUGUAGAGGUGAAAUUCGUAGAUAUUCGGAAGAACACCAGUGGCGAAGGCGGCUCACUGGUCCGGUACUGACGCUGAGGUGCGAAAGCGUGGGGAGCAAACAGGG